GGUCUAGGUGCAGGCCUGUCAGAGGUCUAGGUCAGGCGUGUCAGAGGUCUAGGUCAGGCCUGUCAGAGGUCUAGGUGCAGGCGUGUCAGAGGUCUAGGUGCAGGUGUGUCAGAGGUCUAGGUCAGGCCUGUCAGACGUCUAGGUCAGGCCUGUCAGAGGUUUAGGUCAGACGUGUCAGAGGUCUAGGUCAGGCCUGUCAGAGGUCUAGGUCAGGCGUGUCAGAGGUCUAGGUCAGGUGUGUCAGAGGUCUAGGUGCAGGCGUGUCAGAGGUCUAGGUGCAGGCGUGUCAGAGGUCUAGGUCAGGCCUGUCAGAGGUCUAGGUGCAGGCGUGUCAGAGGUCUAGGUCAGGCGUGUCAGAGGUCUAGGUCAGGCGUGUCAGAGGUCUAGGUCAGGCCUGUCAGAGGUCUAGGUGCAGGCCUCUUUCCUCCUUUAGAAAUUUCCCUAUGAGUUGGUUCUAGAAAUAAUGCCAUUACUUUGUUUUGGGACCUUUUACAUGCAGAGUUUUUGCCAUUUCAGGCAAUUUUUUUUUUUUUUUGCCUCCAAUUUUAUCACUGGGGCUUGGUGUCUGCAUUUUUAUCAUUUGGUGAAUUCACUACUCGUGGAGGCCAUUUUUUCCCCUUUUUGUUGCCCUUGUAAUUAUUCUUAUUGUUGUUAUUGUUGGAUAGGACAGAGAGAUAUCAAGAGAGGAGGGGUAGGCAGAGAAUGGAAUGGAAAGAUAGACACUUGCAAACCUGCUUCACUGCCUGUAAAACAACCCCUCUGCGGGUGGGGAGCCGGGGGCUCGAAAUGGGAUCCUUACACUGGUCCUUGCGCUUCAUGCCAAGUGCACUUACCCUGCUGCACUGCUGCCCUGGCUCCGCCAACUUUUUAAAAAGAUUUUAUUUAUUUAUUCAUGAAGAAUUAGAAGAGAAAGAACUAGACAUUACUGUGCUUCUGGAUUGAACUGAGGACUUCACACUUUAUCCAUUGUACCACCCCCUGGACCACUCUGGUCACUGUUUCCUUUUUUCUUUUUAAAAUUUAUUUAUAAAAUUAAAAAAUAUAUACAAGACACUAGGUUCAGAGGAGCACAAUUCCACACAGUUCCCACCACCAGAGUUCCCUGUCCCAUCCCCUCCAUUGGAAGCUUCCCUGUUCUUUAUCCCUCUGGGAGCUUGGACCCAAAUUCUUUAUGAGGAGCAGAAGGUGGGAGUUCUACCUUCUGUAAUUGCUUCUCCGCUGGACAUGGGUGUUGGCAGGUGGAUCCAUCCCCCAGCCUAUUUCUGUCUUUCCCUAGUGGGGCAGGGCUCUGGGAAGGUCAUCUGCCCAGGGAAGUCAGGUUGGCAUCGUGACUGUAUCUGCAACUUGGUGGCUGGAAUAAGAUGAAGGUAUAAAGCAGAACAAAUUGUUUAAUAACAGAGAACCUAUAGGCAAAAAUAUAGCAGAUGAAAUUUGGGGCCUCCAUUUUGGAAAAAGUUGGUCUAUUUUAGGUAUAUUCCAAGGGGCCCAUGACUUUAAUUUUUGCCUGAGUCUGACAGCUAACAUGCAGGUUGGCCAAAGGUAUUGUCUGGGAAGAUAGUGUCAUAGUUGAAAAUAAAACUAGAAAGCUGGAUCAGGGCAGGAAGUAGCUCCCAAAUAAGGGUUAAGUAUAUAAAUUCUGUUGACUGUAAGCCCCAUCUGUUUGAUCUGGGGCCCAUAUUCAGCACAGGAGCCUGUGUGACCUCUGCAUCCCUGUGGGUCUGAGCUCACAUCCUGUGGUCACGGCUGGGAACAUUCCAGGCUGCACUAACUUCAGGACCCAUCUUCCUCAGGUGGUAGGCAGAGUAUAUUGUGCAACCUCCCUUCAGAGAAUGCGACAUUCCCCACCUUUGUUGAGCCACAUGAGGGCCAAGACCUGUAGGGACCCACAGAGGGUCCAUUGUGUUGUUCCUGAUGGAGACGACCAGUGACAGUCGUGAGAGGGAUCUGUUAGUGAUCUUGCCCCAUCACGUCUGUGUGGGAACACCAGGACUCUCUGACUAGGGCCCCGGGUGAUGGGGUGACAGGUCACUUUUUCUUUCAGGUACAGACCACAGCACUGGGCUCAUUCUGUUGCCUCGUUUGGUUUGAGCCUGAGCCACAUGCCUGGCACGUACCUUAGUGAGCCCUCCCUCUCUGGCCUCUGAUUUUAGGUUUUAGAAAGUGGACCCUACCACCUAAUUCUCCUUAAAAAAUAAACUGGCUUGUAAAUAUUGUUUUAAUGAAAUAAAAAAUGACAAGCUAUUUUGAAGCCCAUUUAGUUCUAGUAAUUUCAAAGUUAUUGAUUUUGAUAGUAGAAAAAUCUCCACUUUAAAGCUAAACUUGCAGCUUUUUUUUUUUUUCUGACUAUGCUUACAAAGUGCUAAAUUUAGCUGGAGCAAAGUUCUACCUGCACUUUUCCAGGAAGGGUUUUACUUUCCCAACCAAAAACUGUCACUGUUGACUGAGUGCACAUUUCCAGUCAGACAGUGGAGCUGAGUCCUGGCACGGCCUCCUGUCUGUUCUGAGACCUGAAUGCCAUCCACUUCAGUGGUUUCCCUACCUAUCUACCUAUCUGUCAUGUCUGUCUGUCUGUCAACCUCUCUACUAUCUCUCUCCUCUCUCUCCCUCUCUCUCUGGUGUGGGAUUAAUAUUAAUCCACCUCUCAGAGCUAUUGCGAAGAAUCAAUGAAAUAAUACGACUUUUUUUUUUUUGUGACCAGGGUUAUUGCUGGGCCUCAGUGACUGCAUAAGCACCAUUUCCAGCAGACGUUUUUCCUUUUCUCUUUCUUCCUUGUUUUUUUAUUAGAGAGGAGAGAGAGAGGAGAAAAUUGAGAAAGGAGUGGGGAGGAAGAGAGACCUGCGGACUUCCUCAGUGUAGCCGUAAUCCUUUGAGAGCCUUUGCUCUGAUCAGAUAGGCUUACUCCCCCACACACACCCACCCCGUCCCCCUACACACAUCCAGAACAAACCUUUCAGCUAAAGCUGUGCCAUCAGCCUAAACUAUGGAGAAGACAGCCACAACUGCUUCCCAAAAAUCUUUAACACGCAUCCAUUUACUUCUAAAUGUCAAAAUUUUCAAGAAACAAAUGAAAGCAAGCUGAGAUACUGAACUCUUAAUGGUGGUUUUCUUGUUUUGUUUUGUCUUUUCCCAAGCCAUGCACACAUUUUUGGGGAGCAGACGUUACUUUAAGAAAUGUUAUAUCACUUAACACUCCUCUAGAAAAAAAAAAAGAAAAGAAAA